rnacentral:rRNA from 1 species
UCUACGGGUGGCAGCAGUGGGGAAUAUUGGACAAUGGGCGAAAGCCUGAUCCAGCCAUGCCGCGUGUGUGAAGAAGGCCUUCGGGUUGUAAAGCACUUUCAGUGGGGAAGAAAGCCUUGGGGCUAAUACCCUCGAGGAAGGACAUCACCAACAGAAGAAGCACCGGCUAACUCCGUGCCAGCAGCCGCGGUAAUACGGAGGGUGCGAGCGUUAAUCGGAAUUACUGGGCGUAAAGCGCGCGUCGGCGGUCUGAUAAGCCGGUUGUGAAAGCCCCGGGCUCAACCUGGGAACGGCAUCCGGAACUGUCAGGCUAGAGUGCAGGAGAGGAAGGUAGAAUUCCCGGUGUAGCGGUGAAAUGCGUAGAGAUCGGGAGGAAUACCAGUGGCGAAGGCGGCCUUCUGGACUGACACUGACGCUGAGGUGCGAAAGCGUGGGUAGCAAACAGGAUUAGAUACCCCAGUAGUC